rnacentral:rRNA from 1 species
CGGAAUCACUGGGCGUAAAGGGUGCGUAGGCGGGUCUUUAAGUCAGGGGUGAAAUCCUGGAGCUCAACUCCAGAACUGCCUUUGAUACUGAAGAUCUUGAGUUCGGGAGAGGUGAGUGGAACUGCGAGUGUAGAGGUGAAAUUCGUAGAUAUUCGCAAGAACACCAGUGGCGAAGGCGGCUCACUGGCCCGAUACUGACGCUGAGGCACGAAAGCGUGGGGAGCAAACAGG